rnacentral:rRNA from 1 species
CCUACGGGAGGCAGCAGUGGGGAAUUUUGGACAAUGGGCGAAAGCCUGAUCCAGCAAUGCCGCGUGCAGGAAGAAGGCCUUCGGGUUGUAAACUGCUUUUGUACGGAACGAAAAGGUCUGCCCUAAUACGGCGGGCUCAUGACGGUACCGUAAGAAUAAGCACCGGCUAACUACGUGCCAGCAGCCGCGGUAAUACGUAGGGUGCGAGCGUUAAUCGGAAUUACUGGGCGUAAAGCGUGCGCAGGCGGUUAUAUAAGACAGUUGUGAAAUCCCCGGGCUCAACUUGGGAAUUGCAUCUGUGACUGUAUAGCUAGAGUACGGUAGAGGGGGAUGGAAUUCCGCGUGUAGCAGUGAAAUGCGUAGAUAUGCGGAGGAACACCGAUGGCGAAGGCAAUCCCCUGGACCUGUACUGACGCUCAUGCACGAAAGCGUGGGGAGCAAACAGGAUUAGAUACCCUGGUAGUCCACGCCCUAAACGAUGUCAACUGGUUGUUGGGCGCAUUAGUACUCAGUAACGAAGCUAACGCGUGAAGUUGACCGCCUGGGGAGUACGGCCGCAAGGUUGAAACUCAAAUGAAUUGACGG